rnacentral:rRNA from 1 species
UGGGGAAUAUUGGACAAUGGGCGCAAGCCUGAUCCAGCCAUGCCGCGUGAGUGAUGACGGCCUUAGGGUUGUAAAGCUCUUUCGCUCGGGACGAUAAUGACGGUACCGAGAUAAGAAGCCCCGGCUAACUUCGUGCCAGCAGCCGCGGUAAUACGAAGGGGGCUAGCGUUGUUCGGAAUUACUGGGCGUAAAGCGCGUGUAGGCGGGUCUUUAAGUCAGGGGUGAAAUGCCAAGGCUCAACCUUGGAACUGCCUUUGAUACUGGAGAUCUUGAGUCCGGGAGAGGUGAGUGGAACUGCGAGUGUAGAGGUGAAAUUCGUAGAUAUUCGCAAGAACACCAGUGGCGAAGGCGGCUCACUGGCCCGGAACUGACGCUGAGACGCGAAAGCGUGGGGAGCAAACA